CGGACGGGUGAGUAACGCGUGGGUAACCUGCCCUGUACAGGGGGAUAACAAUCAGAAAUGACUGCUAAUACCGCAUAAGACCACAGCACCGCAUGGUGCAGGGGUAAAAACUCCGGUGGUACAGGAUGGACCCGCGUCUGAUUAGCUGGUUGGUGAGGUAACGGCUCACCAAGGCGACGAUCAGUAGCCGGCUUGAGAGAGUGAACGGCCACAUUGGGACUGAGACACGGCCCAA
rnacentral:rRNA from 1 species